rnacentral:rRNA from 1 species
AUUGAACGCUGGCGGCAGGCUUAACACAUGCAAGUCGAGCGGAGAUGAGGUGCUUGCACCUUAUCUUAGCGGCGGACGGGUGAGUAAUGCUUAGGAAUCUGCCUAUUAGUGGGGGACAACAUUCCGAAAGGAAUGCUAAUACCGCAUACGUCCUACGGGAGAAAGCAGGGGAUCUUCGGACCUUGCGCUAAUAGAUGAGCCUAAGUCGGAUUAGCUAGUUGGUGGGGUAAAGGCCUACCAAGGCGACGAUCUGUAGCGGGUCUGAGAGGAUGAUCCGCCACAAUGGGACUGAGACACGUCCCAGACUCCUACGUGAGGCAGACGUGGGGAAUAUUGGACAAUGGGGGGAACCCUGAUCCAGCCAUGCCGCGUGUGUGACGAAGGCCUUAUGGUUGUAAAGCACUUUAAGCGAGGAGGAGGCUACUGAGACUAAUACUCUUGGAUAGUGGACGUUACUCGCAGAAUAAGCACCGGCUAACUCUGCGCCAGCAGCCGCAGUAAUAC